CCAGCCCCCGCCCACCCAUCCACCACCGCCACAGCGCCACUCGCUUCUGCUCCCUCGCUGUCCUGGCGCUCCUCCCCCAUGGCGGCACACGCCGGGACCCUAGCUCCGCCCCUCCCCCUCCGCCUCCCUCCUUGCCCGCUCCCCCGCCCCGGACUCCUCACCCCAGCCUCCUCCUCGCUCCUCCCGCGAGCCCGCCGCCUCGCGGUCGCCCGCGCGGCCUCCGGCUCCGACGGCGGGCCCCCGGCGGAGGGGGACAAGGACCGGAAAGGCAGCCCUUCACUCCCGGCGCUGUCAGAGAUCCGGUGGGGCGAGCUGCUGUCCCCGGAGCCUACCAACGCCGCGGCCGUGGUGCUGACCGGCGCGCUCGCCUGGGCCGGCGCCUCGCUGCUGCUGCAGCUCGUCGCGAUCUUCGCCGCGAUCUUCGCCGCCGCCGUCAAGUACUCCUUCGUCGCCGCGGUCCUGCUCUUCAUCCUCAUCGCGCUCCUGUGACCGGCUUCGUCGCCCAGAUAACCUUCACUUUGGAUUGGCCUUGAAGCAAAUAUGGCACUAAUCGUAAGCAGUCACUGGUUUCACGUUCCUCUCAAGUCUAACACACAUGCAGUGACACAACCUGCUUUUAUAUAGCAAUCCACCUUCAAGGGAAUAUGAUCUUUCGCCAGUAUUGGUUGCAUUGCUGCACGCCACUUGAAAGCACCUUGCAGUGCUUAGGGAACUGGAAUAUAUAUCAAUUGUGAAUGCUUGCACAAAUAUUGAGGUGUAUAUUUUUUGAACUGGGUACUGAGGUGUAUAUUGAAGCCCUCUUUUGUGUUGAAUCUCCCGGCAGUAAUUGAACUUGUAAGUUCACAUGCACCGAAAAAGAAGAAAAACUUCAACCAGAAACUCUCCUGGUAGGAGGCGUUUGGUUCUAGUAAGGAAUCUGGGAACUCAGCCUGCACAUUAUAUGCGCCCCCGAGUCAACAUACUACUGGAACGCAUGGGUGGAAGGAUGGAUGGAAUCAUGAUAUCUCAUGAAAAGCAUCCACGGUUUUCAUCUUGUAUGUUAUCCCUAAUAAUUGGAGAAUGUUCUAAUAUGGUUUGUUAGGUCUGAAGAGAAUGUUGCAUGGCAACACCAGCCUGCAUUUGGUGUGCCAUUUGUGCCGAUUGUGACUGUGCAGUUUCAGCUUUCUAUUCAUUUUUUCCUGUGGC